AGAGUUUGAUCAUGGCUCAGGACGAACGCUGGCGGCGUGCCUAACACAUGCAAGUCGAGCGAUGAAACCCUUCGGGGUGGAUUAGCGGCGGACGGGUGAGUAACACGUGGGUAACCUGCCUCAAAGAGGGGAAUAGCCUCCCGAAAGGGAGAUUAAUACCGCAUAAUAUGUUUUGGUCGCAUGAUCAGAACAUCAAAGGAAUUUUCUUCGGAUUAUUCCACUUUGAGAUGGACCCGCGGCGCAUUAGCUAGUUGGUGAGGUAACGGCUCACCAAGGCGACGAUGCGUAGCCGACCUGAGAGGGUGAUCGGCCACAUUGGAACUGAGACACGGUCCAGACUCCUACGGGAGGCAGCAGUGGGGAAUAUUGCGCAAUGGGGGAAACCCUGACGCAGCAACGCCGCGUGAAUGAUGAAGGCCUUCGGGUUGUAAAGUUCUGUCUUCUGGGACGAUAAUGACGGUACCAGAGGAGGAAGCCACGGCUAACUACGUGCCAGCAGCCGCGGUAAUACGUAGGUGGCAAGCGUUGUCCGGAUUUACUGGGCGUAAAGGAUGCGUAGGCGGACAUUUAAGUCAGAUGUGAAAUACCCGAGCUUAACUUGGGUGCUGCAUUUGAAACUGGGUGUCUAGAGUGCAGGAGAGGUAAGUGGAAUUCCUAGUGUAGCGGUGAAAUGCGUAGAGAUUAGGAAGAACACCAGUGGCGAAGGCGACUUACUGGACUGUAACUGACGCUGAGGCAUGAAAGCGUGGGGAGCAAACAGGAUUAGAUACCCUAGUAGUCC
rnacentral:rRNA from 1 species